rnacentral:tRNA from 1 species
GGCCUUGUAGCUCAUUUGGCUAGAGCGUUGGGUGUAGUUAAGCCUUCCCUUGCUGGUGUAGGUUCGAAUCCCACCGAGGCCA